rnacentral:miRNA from 1 species
UGCGAGCCGUUGCAGCAGUGC